rnacentral:misc_RNA from 1 species
GAUGAAGAACGCAGCGAAAUGCGAUAAGUAAUGCGAAUUGCAGAAUUUCCGUGAGUCAUCGAAUCUUUGAACGCACAUUGCGCCCGCCAGUAUUCUGGCGAGCAUGCCUGUUCGAGCGUCAUUUCAACCAUCAAGCCCCAGGCUUGUGUUGGAGCCCUGCGGCUGCCGCAGCCUCCCAAAACCAGUGGCGGGCUCGCUAUCACACCGAGUGCAGUAGUUUACUCUUCGCUCAGGGCGUGUGGCGGGUGCUAGCCGUGAAACCCCCAACUUCUCAAGGUUGACCUCGGAUCAGGUAGGAAUACCCGCUGAACUUAAGCAUAUCAAUAAGCGGAGGA